rnacentral:tRNA from 1 species
AAAGACUUAGGUAAGUAAUAUUAAAACCGAAAGCCUUCAAAGCUUUAAGCAGGAGUGAAAAUCUCCUAGUCUUUG